AUGCUCCGUUGCACCAUUGAAGUGAGAAAGGCAGGCCACAUCCGAGAGCUUUUCUCGCGCUGGACACUUUCGCAUGACUUUCACCUUGAUGAUCAGGUUGAGGACAUUGUUUGAUAAUAUGCGCUAGAUGGGAUAUACUCGGCAGCCACUACUUAUAAGACGCAAUUCCGUGGCCUAACGCACUCGCCCGUUCACUACAUGGUCGGAAAAGCUUGGGCUCCCCCUAAAGUCAAAUUCUUCGCUUGGCUGGCCUUGCAAGAUCGGAUUUGGACUGCGGACCGGUUGGAGCGGCGCGGUUGGAAAAAUUGUGGGCUUUGCCCACUUUGCAAGAGGAAGCAAGAAUCAGGCAUCCAUCAUUUCGUCAAGUUCCGCUUCUCCAUUCGGCUCUGGCGAUCGGUCAUUGACAAGUUAGAUCUUGCGCACAUUGACACCUUCGAUUGGCACCUUGAGGACUCUCUUAUGUGUUGGUGGGAUAGAAGAACCGACAUGCGAAAUUCAGACAGACGAGCAAUGGCCUCCCUCACCAUGCUAGUCUCUUGGACUCUUUGA
rnacentral:rRNA from 1 species